rnacentral:rRNA from 1 species
AAUCCAGCGAUUUAAUCGUUGGCCUGCGGGGGAUACUGUCCGGCUUGGAGGCGAGAGAGGCCGACGGUAUUCUCGGGGUAGGGGUGAAAUCCUAUAAUCCCGGGAAGACCACCAGUGGCGAAGGCUGUCGGCUAGAACGCGCUCGACGGUGAGGGAUGAAAGCUGGGGGAGCGAACCGGAUUAGAUACCCGGGUAGUCCCAGCCGUAAACGAUGCAGGCUAGGUGUUAGUGCGGCUACGUGCCGCUCUAGUGCCGCAGGGAAACUGUUUAGCCUGCCGCCUGGGGAGUACGGCUGCAAGGCUGAAACUUAAAGGAAUUGGCGGGGGAGCACCACAAGGGGUGAAGCUUGCGGUUUAAUUGGAGUCAACGCCGGAAAUCUCACCGGGGGCGACAGCAGGGUGAAAGCCAGAUUAAAGGUCUUGCCAGACGAGCUGAGAGGAGGUGCAUGGCCGUCGCCAGUUCGUGCCGUGAGGUGUCCUGUUAAGUCAGGCAACGAUCGAGACCCGCAUCCCCCGUUGCUAUUGGUCUUGAACCAAGCACACUGGGGAGACUGCCGCCGACAAGGCGGAGGAAGGAGCGGGCCACGGCAGGUCAGUAUGCCCCGAAUCUCCCGGGCCACACGCGAGCUGCAAUGGCAGGUACAAUGGGAUCCGACCUCGAAAGGGGAAGGAAAUCUUUAAAGCCUGCCGUAGUUGGGAUCGAGGGUUGAACU